rnacentral:misc_RNA from 1 species
UUAAGUUCAGCGGGUAUCCUCGUCUGAUCUGAGGUCAAACCUUAGAAAAUUUAGGUUAUUGUUCAGGCGGAGCUUACCUUCCCUUAGUUGAACAGGUUGAAUGGAUUCUACUAUGUUCUUUCAGGUUUGGUGACCCGCAGAGCGUGCCAAUUUAAAGCCCAACCCAGUGAGGGUCGAAGGCUCACAACCGAUCUGGAGUU